AAAGCUUUAUAAUAAUUACAUAAAAAAUAAAGCCAGGAGUUAUGGAUGAAAAUUGCAAUAGAAGCAUCAGUAAUCCAUUUAUUUCUAUAUUUUUUGUUCUUUAAUAUUAAGAGAAUCUUGAUUCAAACAGGUAAGUAGUUUUACUUUUAAGCAGCUUAUAUGACUACCUUAAGGUGUCCUCUCACCUAACUGGUUUCAAAAACUUAAAAAAGGAGUAGGUCAGUUUUAGAUCUAAUCUGAGCUAUCACAAGCAUAAUCAGUUCUUUUUUUUUUUUUUUUUGAGACGGAGUCUCGCUCUGUCACCCAGGCUGGAGUGCAGUGGCGCCAUCUUGGCUCACCCAGUGGUGUUCCAUGAACCAGUGUGAAACACUUCAUGAAAGCUGAAUGUUAAAUUUUCAGGAACUUUGCACACCUUUUCUUAAUCAACUAUAACUUGAAAUUGGCCAUGGUGAGAGUAUGUUCCAUUUUUAUUACACUCUUACAUUCAUAUAAUGAUGUGUACAAAUCUUAAGUGUUCUUUUAAUAGAUUUUUACGUAUAUAUGCCCUCUUUGCAAAUAACCAUCACGCUGAUCAAGAAAUAGAAUGUUCACAAUGAGAACAUUCUCACAUGCUCCCUCACUAGUCACAGCUCACACACACACAGAGAGACAAGCAAGAUCACUAUUAUGACCUCUUUUUUAUAGAUGAGUUUUGCCUAUUCUUAAGCAUGUUAUAAAUUAACACAUGGUGUAUUCUCUUUUGUGUCUGGCUUUUUUCAUUCUUCUUUGUGUCUGUGAGAGUCAUCCAUGUUGUUGAGUGUAGUAGUAGUUUAUUCUUUUUUUUUCCUGUGGGGUUCCAUUCCAUGAAUACACCACAAUGGAUUUCUCCAUUCUACUCUUGAUGACACUUGGAUUGUUGCUAGUUUUUAAUUAAAGCCAGUAUGAAUAUUUUUGUACAUUCACCUGGGGGUAUAUGCACUUUUUUCUCUUGGAUAUAUACCAAGUAAUCUAACUGCUGGGUUCUAAGGGAUAUGUUUGCUCAGCUUCAGUCAAUACUGCCAAACAGGUUUCCAAAGAAGUUAUACAAUGGACUCUCUCACCAGCAAUCCAUGAGAGUUCUUGUUGCCCAACUUCCUCCCCACCACUUAGUUUUAAGUCUUUGUUUUUAGCCAUCCUAGAGAGUGUGCAGUGGUGUCUUAUUAUAAUUAUAAUUUA
rnacentral:lncRNA from 1 species